ACGAAGGGAGCUAGCGUUGUUCGGAAUUACUGGGCGUAAAGGGCGCGUAGGCGGCCUUGUAAGUCAGAUGUGAAAUCCCCGGGCUUAACCUGGGAACUGCAUUUGAUACUGCAAGGCUAGAGAAUGAGAGAGGAAAGUGGAAUUACGAGUGUAGAGGUGAAAUUCGUAGAUAUUCGUAAGAACAUCAGUGGCGAAGGCGGCUUUCUGGCUCAUUACUGACGCUAAGGCGCGAAAGCGUGGGGAGCAAACAGG
rnacentral:rRNA from 1 species